rnacentral:misc_RNA from 1 species
CCAAUAGCGUAUAUUAAAGUUGUUGCAGUUAAAAAGCUCGUAGUUGAAUUUCGGGGUUAGUAGGUUGGUCAUGCCUCUGGUAUGUACUGGUCUCACUGAUUCCUCCUUCCUGAUGAACCUUAAUGCCAUUAAUUUGGUGUUUUGGGGAAUUUGGACUGUUACUUUGAAAAAAUUAGAGUGUUUAAAGCAAGCUAACGCUUGAAUACAUUAGCAUGGAAUAAUGAAAUAGGACGUUCGAUCCUAUUUUGUUGGUUUCUAGGAUUGACGUAAUGAUUAAUAGGGAUAGUUGGGGGCAUUAGUAUUCAAUUGUCAGAGGUGAAAUUCUUGGAUUUAUUGAAGACUAACUACUGCGAAAGCAUUUGCCAAGGAUGUUUUCAUUAAUCAAGAACGAAAGUUAGGGGAUCGAAGACGAUCAGAUACCGUCGUAGUCUUAACCAUAAACUAUGCCGACUAGGGAUCAGACAAGGAUUUUUUGACUUGUUUGGCACCUUACG